AGAGCAAAACGUUCUAUCGCUGUUUGCUUUCGGGCAAAUGGAGGAAAGUCCGGGCAACGCAGAGCAUCCUGCUUCCUAACGGGAAGGCGCCUUACCAGCGGGCGACAGCAAGUGCCACAGAAAAAAUACCGCCCCGAGUCAUCGGGGUAAGGGUGAAAACGUGAGGUAAGAGCUCACGGCUUUUCCGGGCGACCGGAAUUGCGGUAAACCUCAGGAGUUGAAAGACCAAAUAGGUCCCGAAUUUAAGGCGGCUCGUCUUAUUUGCCUUUACGGCAUGUUCGGGAUGGGUAGGUUGCUUAGAGCCUUACAGCAAUGUAAGGCCCAGAUUAAUGAUAGAAGCUGCUGCAAAGCAGUACAGAACCCGGCUUAUAGUAAUGCUGCUGGU
rnacentral:RNase_P_RNA from 1 species